GAGUUUGAUCCUGGCUCAGAUUGAACGCUGGCGGCAGGCCUAACACAUGCAAGUCGAACGAGAAAGUGGAGCAAUCCAUGAGUACAGUGGCGACCGGGUGAGUAACACGUGACUAACCUACCCUCGAGUGGGGAAUAACUCCGGGAAACCGGAGCUAAUACCGCAUAACAUCGCAAGAUCAAAGCCGAAAGGCGCUUGAGGAGGGGGUCGCGGCUGAUUAGCUAGUUGGCGGGGUAAUGGCCCACCAAGGCGAAGAUCGGUAUCCGGCCUGAGAGGGCGCACGGACACACUGGAACUGAAACACGGUCCAGACUCCUACGGGAGGCAGCAGUGGGGAAUUUUGCGCAAUGGGGGAAACCCUGACGCAGCAACGCCGCGUGGAGGAUGAAGUCCCUUGGGAUGUAAACUCCUUUCGACCGGGAAGAUACUGACGGUACCGGAAGAAGAAGCACCGGCUAACUCUGUGCCAG
rnacentral:rRNA from 1 species